AGGAGAGAAGCUGCCAGGAGGUGGGGUGGGGGAUGGAGCCCACCCUUUGUGGCACCAGGGCGCUCUGAAGUUCAAAAAAAUUCAGGGGCCCGAGUGAGCCUCAGAAAACGUCUGUAAAACGCUUUGAUUAUUGAAAUCGUACCUGCCUAGAGUUCGCCGGAUAGCCUGAAAUGAUACGUGUGCUUACGUUAGAAUUAGAAAGCUCGGCUGGAGAUCUUUUUUUAUUUUUGGAAUGUCUAUCCCUCUAAUUACUUUACAGUCCAAAUGAUUACAAAAAGGAGCAGAGAGCAACAGAUGAUCCCAAAUUGCCGUGUGUAGAGGAAAGGGUUGUGUUUGCGUGGGGCCCUCCCUGUAAUGACAGCCGCUCCUGAGAGCUGUUUAGACAAACUCCUAACAGGGGGUCAGCGCUCGAAGCCGCCCGGGCUUCCAAGGCCAGGCUGCUUCUGCCCGGACCGAGCUGUGUUUGGAAUUAAUGGGUUCAACUUCAUUCUGAGCACCGGGGAAGGCUAUUUUAGAAAGCAACUCUCCGGGCUGGGACUGGUCGUCACUGAUGUGGCAAACCCAGCCUCUGAGCAGAAGGUCUCCAAAUAGAACUGGCCCGGCGUCUGGAAGGCACAGCGGGGCCGCCCCUUUCGGGGCGCAACCCCUGUGUCCCCCCCACCCUGGGUGACGUCCCGCCUCGUCCCGCCCCCAUCCUGGCUGCAGGAAGGCGGUGUGGGGGCUGGGGAGGGCGUGAUGCCUCCGAAAUGUGACAAGGGAACAGCGCCAGGCUUCUGCCCAACAGCACGACCAAGCGCAUCCCUCCCCCAGGUGCGUCCUUCCAAGCCCCUCUUCCACGCCGCCCACUCUGGCGCCAGGUGACACAAGAUGAACACUGAAUCCUAGAGAAAUGGUUGGAAGAGGGACCAGAGUUCAGCCUCUCUGCCCUGGGAUGUGAAUGGACCCUUUGAAUCUGGAAUACUAGGACAAUCAUAUCCCUAAUACAAAGGUUUGGUCUGACUCGCAGCUAAAACAAAGCUGUUUCCCUCGGCCUCCAGGGCCCCUGGCUGAGCUCCGCCGGCUGCAGGCCCUGCCCAGCACGUCCUGCCACUCAGAUGUCACUGGCGUCCCUGUUGGCCACACACCCCCCACCCAGGGGAGAAAUUAAGGCGAUUUCACUGAGGCCCACUGCCUGGGCAGUUCACAGCCCUCCUGGAGGAGCCAGAUAGAACUUGGACGGUGUCAGAGGAACCCAAGAGGGUGAUAUGAAGCUGGAGACCCAGGUGAAGGGGCUGGCUUAGAAGAAGCAGAGACACUUCAUUUGAAGGAGAAAAAGUAGAAGGUUCCAUGGAUAAGUGAUAUUUGGCUUCCCGGGUAGCUCAAAUGAUGAAGAAUCUGCCUGCAAUGUGAGAGACCUAGAUCCAUUCCCAGCGGUGGGAAUCUCUUUUUACCAAGAAAUUGGGUGGCUCUUCACGCGAGGAAAGAGGUUGAAGUAACUGAGUGAGCAUGACUGAAUGGGGUGAGAAGGAGAAGGAGGUGAGGACACAGAUACAGGCAGAGGGAAGACUGUGUGAGGACACAGCAAGAAGAUGGCGUCUACUAGCUAAGAAGAGAGGCCUCAGAAGAAAUCAAGCCCACCAACACCUUGAUCACAGACUUUCAGCCUGCACAUCUGUGCGAAAGUAAGUCCCUGUUGUCUAAGCCCUUUGUCUGCGGUACUUCACGAGGGCGGCUCUAGUAAAUGAAAACAGUCGUCAUUUGAUAUAUAUUUUUAAGGUGCUGAAGAAAAGAUCCACAAGACAUGUCUCAUUGAUGAAAUAAAGGUGUCAUCUCCUGGGGGGUCACAAAUGUGUGAGGAGAGGGGCGCUUAGUUCAGAGUUCUGUGGCUGGAGGUUCACCCUUCCACAGCUUAACAAACUCUGGAGGCACCCUGUUUCUCCAUUCCUAGUCCAUCUCGAUCAGGCAGUCAGGAAAUCAGCUUGGCUCACGUGGUUGAAAACUACACCCGACCAUGACCACUUCUCCCCUCCCCCAGUUGUCACCCUGCCAGGAGCCCCGGUGCCUCCUGCCUGGACCAGGGCAGUCUUCUCACUGGUCACCAUCCUCAGCAUCCUCACUGUGUCCUCCGCAUGGCCACCUGGGGACUUGCAAGUUCAAGUACUGUCAGGUUGCCCCUUUAUUGACAGCCCUACAGUGCUUUCUUUUGCUGAUACUGGAAGCUGUGAUUCCCCUCCUCUGCCAACCCCUCCUGGAGCCCCCCGACCCCCAACUCUGUGCUGACUCUAAUGUACCAGGCCCACUCCUGCCUAUGGGUCUUUCAGCUGCUUCUUCUGCCCGGAGUUCUCUCACCUUCCUCCCAUAUGUAUUUGACAUACUCCCUCAAUUCUUGAAGUCUUUGCUCACAUGUCACCUUCUUGAUGAGGUCCAUUCUGACUGCCCACUUUCAUUUGAUGACCUGACCUCUGCCCAUUGGCCCUGCUCCCCCUCCUGACCUCCUUCUCCAGUGACUUUCUUUUCUUCCUCCCGGGGUCUCUUACAGUCUAAGUGCUUUGUAUUUUAUGGGUUUAUUUUGAAUCCUUCCCCACCCCUGUCUGAGAAUAGACUCUGCAAGGGGCCACUGCAGGGAUCUUGGCCUCUUUUGUUCAUGGAGGUGCUGCAAACACCCAGAGCAUGACUGGCAAGUGAAGGGGCUGGAUGCAGGUCUGUGGACUUGGUGACUAGGUGACCCGGAUUCCAACUCUGGAGGGGGAAACGUGCCGAGGGAGCUCCACCUGCAAAGAUCUGAGAGCCUUGUGGACGUAAAUUGAAAAGAGCUCUUAGAGCCUUCAGCAUCUUCAGCUUUCCGGCUGUGGCCACGCAUUUCCUGGGCAGCAGGCAGGUGAUGGCUGAGCUUAUAGGGAUUCUAGGGUGCAGCCCUGGGUACCACAUCAGGGCCUCUAACGGGCCGUGUUUGACUGAGACUUUAUCAGCUCUGCAUUGUGGGCUGGGUGCCUCCUGCCCCAUCCUGGUCCCCUCUGCUGUCACAGACAUCAGGUUUACAUCAUGAUCUGAAGGUUUUUGCUGCCUACAUCUGUUCAGACACUGUCUUUCACAAAAUCACUAAAGAUGGUGACUGCAACCACAAAAUUAAAAGACGCUUACUCCUUGGAAGAAAAGCUAUAACAAACCUAGACAGCAUAUUAAAAGGCAGACAUCAUUUUGCUAACAAAG